UACGGGGGGAGCAAGCGUUGUUCGGAUUUACUGGGCGUAAAGGGCGCGUAGGCGGCCACCGCAAGUCGACUGUGAAAUCUCCGGGCUUAACCCGGAAAGGUCAGCCGAUACUGCGGGGCUAGAGUGCAGAAGGGGCAACUGGAAUUCUCGGUAUAGCGGUGAAAUGCGUAGAUAUCGAGAGGAACACCUGCGGCGAAGGCGGGUUGCUGGGCUGACACUGACGCUGAUGCGCGAAAGCUAGGGGAGCGAACGGG
rnacentral:rRNA from 1 species